rnacentral:rRNA from 1 species
UACGUAGGGCGCAAGCGUUGUCCGGAAUUAUUGGGCGUAAAGGGCUCGUAGGCGGUCCGUCACGUCGGGAGUGAAAACUCAGGGCUCAACCCUGAGCGUGCUUCCGAUACGGGCGGACUAGAGGUAUGCAGGGGAGAACGGAAUUCCUGGUGUAGCGGUGAAAUGCGUAGAUAUCAGGAGGAACACCGGUGGGUGUAGACGGCUUUCUGGACCGUAACUGACGCUGAGACACGAAGCGUGGGUAGCAAACAGG